rnacentral:RNase_P_RNA from 1 species
GGAGUUGACUGGGUGGCCGCGGCACGGCAUGACCGUGUCGAGGAAAGUCGGGGCUCCACAGGACAGGAUGCUGGCGAGAGCCAGGUUGGGGCGACCUGACGGAUAGUGCAACAGAGAAAGACCGCCGAUGGGCUGGGAAACCAGCCACAGGUGAGGGUGAAACGGUGUGGUAAGAGCGCACCAGCGUGCGGAGUGAUCCGUACGGCUCGGCAAACCCCAUCCGGAGCAAGGCCGAGCAGGGAGGGGAUCGUCCGUCCGUCCCUUCGGGGAACUCCCGGGUAGGCCGCAUAGAUGGAUGGUCACCGACGCUUCGGCGUCACAGAACCCCGCUUACAGGUCGACUCCCCGU